GGAAGGUAAACGGUGUUUCCGUGCACUGCUCUGGUUUUGCCAGAAGCGGCUUAGUGUGCUGGCCACAUGACCCGGAAAAACUAUCUGCAGACAAACAUCGGCUCCCUUGGCCAGUAAAGCAAGAUGAACUCCGCAACCCCAGAGUCGUUCGUGACUGGAUUUAACUGUCAGGGGUCCUUUACCUUUUUAAGUAUUAUAACACACCCACUCUUCCAGUGACAACAAAUUGCCAAGCUCUGCAAAACGAGUCUAAAGUUACAAAAACCAUGUUAACCGUCCCCAGAUAAGUGAAGAGAAAAGUAGGAUAUCAGCCCAGAACAGAUAGUGCAAAAUGUUCCAUAUUUCCACUUUCAUGGAAGCAACAGCAUGGAGGAACAUUUGACUUGGAGCAACCAUGCUAACAGGUGCUGCUUCCUGGCAGCACUUUUCUGGAAGGUUGCGGGAUCUGAAAACAUGCGGAUGACACACAGCUCUACUUCUCCUUUACAUCUGCAGCUGGGACAGGGGAUGUGCUGAAUGAGAGCCAGUGAACUGAAGAUUAAUCCAGAUUAAGACAGAGGCGCUGCUAGUGGGUGGUUCCCUGGAUAUGAUCUUUGCCUGCUCUUGACGGGCCUACACUCCCUCUGAAGGAGCGGCUACAUAGCUUGGGGGUACUCCUGGAUCCUUUGCUGUCAACUGAGGCUCAAGUGGCCUUGAUGGCACUGAGUGCCUUCCAUCAGAUUCAGCUGGUGUGCACCAAAUUAGACAGGGAUAGCCUAACCUCUGCUUUCCAUGUUAUACAUAGGGCUUCCACUGAAGAUGGUUUGGAAACUGCAGCCGGGUUGCUCUCUGGAGCAAGACUGUCUGAACUCCAAUCCUGGUCUGGCUACACUGACUAUUAAUCAGCCUCUAAGCCCAAUUCAAAGUGCUGGUAUUGACCUAUAAAGUCUUAUGCAGCUAAAGACUGUUAUAUCUCAAAGACCACAUCUCCGCUUAUGAACUGACUUGGACCCUGCGAUCGCCGUCUGAGCUUUUCUUUAUGUGCUCCCUCCCCACGAGGUCUGGAUGGUGGCAGUAUUUUUAAAGGGCCUUUUCAGUGGUGGCUCUGCAGAUCCUCCCUUCACAAUACAGUGGUACCUCUGGUUACGAACUUACCGUCAUUCGUUCUGGAGGUUCGUUCUUAACCUGAAACCGUUCUUAACCUGAGGUGCCACUUUAGCUAAUGGGGCCUCCCGCUGCCGCCACGCGAUUUCUGUUCUCAUCCUGAGGUAAAGCUCUUAACCCAAGGUAGUACUUCCAGGUUAGUGGAGUCUGUAACCUGAAGUGUUUGUAACCUGAGGUGUUUGUAACCCGAGGUACUACUGUACAUGGAAAGCAGUGAAGCCAGGACAUGAUGGAAGGAGCAGACCCAAAAAACUUGCUCCUGCUGUCUCCUUCAGUCCUGUGAAGCUUGAGCACAUAAGAGGGCUAGGGCUACUGUUGUACAUCAGAGUGCUCCCAGAGGGUGUUUUGUUUUUUUUUAACGCAUUGGGCCAUGAAAUCUUUAUUCUUAUUCACAUUUGAGAUUCUCUUCCUCCUCCCCCCACUACCCUGUAGCACAGCCUUUGCCUCUUUCAUGAGACCAUGCGUGUAGGGAUGGUUGGGGCAGAGGAUUUUGCAGUUUUAACUAGGCCAGAAUUCUUGUAAUGAGCAGGGAUCUCUGGACAUUAAUUUCUCAGGAAUGUGUUCUGUUAGCUUCUAACCAUUCUGAUUAAAAAAGAGAGCAAUGUACAGCUCAAUAACCGCGAGGAAACAAAAUUAGCCAAUUGGGAAGGAGGAGGCAAAGAUUGAAAAGCCAGUGAUAAUUUAAAUGUUGGACUUUAAGCCUUAGAGGGGAGAAAGUCAGGACUACAGAGAUCUAGGUCAGGUUUCAGAGCCAUAAAAUUCAGAUUAUGGGUAACCAACUUCUGUUGGGGGUAUACUUAGAUCCAGAAAGCAUGCAGGAGCUAAGUAAUGGCAGAUAAUCAUUCUAAAUUCCAGCCGAAUUUCAAAUCCCUCGUUCAGCUUCUUCAGGCUAAAUUAUCCCAAGAUCCAGAACGAUCUUUCUUAAUGUGUUGCUUUUAUUGUAAUUGAUGCUCUGAAUACCAACCGAUAAAAUGCUGGUAGCUACAAUACAUUCCUUUGUAAUUGUAGCUUGUUCUCCUUAUAAAUGAAUACGUACUUUUCCCCCAUUAGAGUUAUUUUAUAUAAAAGAUGACAGUAAGUGAAAUUAAUCAUAAGGAAAUAGCUAAUGUCAAAAAUGCAGUAUUUCAUCAUUAGUCAUUCCACUAACUUCUGGACAUUUCUUCUUAUUGCCUGAGAAAAAUAAAAGAGUUGACAUGGCUAAGAUUAAUUCUGUGAUGCCCCUGUAAGUUCUUAAACUUGCUUUCAAAAACAGCCAAAUCAAGCAGAUGGACAGUGUGACAUGCCCCCAGAGUCCUUUAGAGAGUCCAUACCCCUCUCCUUUAAUCUGACACCCUUGAGGGUCACUAGAUAAGCCAACAUAAAUGGGUUUUGGGUUUCCCCAGCUUUACCCCAGGACAAAACCUACCUAAUAUCCCUGGAAAUUAUUAGCUAUCACCACAUACUCAAUAUAUACAGCUAUAAGACUCUCAAUUAUCAGUAUUUGCAGAGAGCGGAUUUGAGUAUCCUGAGAAUCAUCACUUUGUCGGUUCCCAACCUCUGUCCCACCAACAGCUCAAAGAGUUAACAUAUACACAUUCAGUAGCUUGGCUUAAAAGCUCUCAAGGAAACAACACAGGAAUUGAUCUUAACCAGAUCUGAACACAUUAGAUUACUGUAACCUAAAAAGUAGUUUCAUUAACAUUGCAAUAUAAAUAUUGCAGUCAAUUAAAUCAACAAGCAAAAUGUUGGUUCUAGCUUCUAAGGUCUAUAACCUCAUAAGCAUGUUCUGUUUAUAGGAAAUUAACACCACGGCAAGACCUAAAUAAGGAUAUUAGGUAAGCUGAAACAAAGGUCAGCAUUUAUUUUUGUCCCCAAAGGAAGGAAAAAGGGAACACUGGAGUCUGGAUGUAACAAAAAUGCCAGAUGCACAAGUAUGUGUGUGUGUGUGUGUGUGUGUGUGUGUGUGUAUUUCAGGGAUGUGGAACUUGUGGCCCUCCAGAUGUUGCUGGAUUGCAACUCCCAUGAUCCUUGACCAUUGGCCAUGCUGGCUGGAGUUGACGGGUGUUGGAGUCCGAGAACAUUUGCAGAGCUACAGGUUCCACAUCCCUGAGUUGGCUCCUCUCUUCCUAACCCUUAUGCUAGAUACUGAAGUGCCAUUCAAAGGCCAGAACAGAGCUGGGAUCUGGUGAGCCAAUUGGCACGGGACUAUGAUUUUGAGGGGGGCUACUCCAAGCCCUCCUGAUAGAGGCAAAGGGGGACCCUUUGGUAUACAUUAUUGAGAUGGGGUCUACCUUUCCCACCUGGCCUGGACCUAUUCCCAGCUUUGCACAGCCCUGGCCAUUCAGGCAGAGUUCUUGGAGGAGGGUUAGACCACUGUUUUCAGUUAUAUCCGCUGUGCAGGAUCCCAAAACUGUAAGGUGAAGUGUGAGAGCAGUGCUGUACUCCAGUGUUCAAUAGGUUCUAUAAACAUUGCACAUGAAAGCAGCAACACAUAGCAGUGUGUUUGAUAUGCCAAUCACGCCCUGCUCAAAAUGAAAGGUAGAUUCACUCAGGUCUAACCAACCACUGUCAUAGAUAUGCUACUAUGGAAGGGGGGUGGCUGGGGAGAGAAAUCUUUCUGAUUUAGCAGAUUGUUAGCAGAACUCUUUCAGUUCUCCUGCUGUUGCCACAAGAGUGACUUGCAAAAGCUUCACAUGCAGAGCACUCAUGGCUCCAAGAAGGACUACACCCGACUGCUAAAAUACCCGGCAAAGUGUCCUUUAGUAGCUCUCGGUUGGACUCAGUCUUUGCAAGAGAUGCCCCAGGUAUGCGAGGUCAUCGUCAUGUUGGAUUAAGGAAGGCUUCUACUGAGACAGUCCAGUGUGUCUUGACUUACAGCCUUCCCAUUUUCAUAGAAUCAUAGUAUUGUAGAGUCGGAAGGGACCCUGAAGACCAUCUAGUCCAAACUCCUGGGAUGCAGGAAUAUGCAGCUGUUCCAUAUGGGGAUUGUUAUGUACUAAGCUUGGAUCCUAGAACAAUAGGCAGGUAGGAUCCUAGAAUGCAACAACUGGUUGGCUUGCAGGAGAAGACCAAUCAGGCUCCAGGAGGCAGUGAAUCAGCCUAUUAGGCUGGUAGGAUCGUAGAAUGCAACAACUGAUUGGCCUGUAGGAGAGGACCAAUCAGGCUCCAGGAGGGAAGCAGAAUCAGCCAAUCAGACGGGACUCAUUGUGUAAAUAAUGUAUAUAAAUGCCUGAGGUUUGGGGGUCAAUUCAAUCACAAUUUUACAAGCUGCAAUAAAGAGCAUGAAAUCACUGCAGGACCCUGAGUAUAUUUCAGGGAUCAAACCUGCAACCUUGGCAUUACCACCACCAUGAUCUAAUCAGCUGAGCUAUCCAGUUGGUUAUUUUGAUGAAUUGCUGUAUUUCCCUUUUCUCUGCAAAUGGCUAUGGUUUCCAGGCUAUCUUGAUGGGACUUCUCAUCUGGUGAAAUUUGCUACAUUGGCAGUUAGAGUGAUGUUUUCCUACUAAAUAAUAGUCAAGUCUGGGGACAGAGGGAAUUCUGUAUAAGGCUAGUUUGCUUUUUUUAGCUCCACUAAUGGAAAGUCUUCCAAUGAGAAAGGGCAGGGCCAGCAGCCUUCUUAGAUUACUCUGACCCAUAUCCAGAAGAAUCAGCUUCUAAUCCUUAUCAAGACCUGCAACUAAAACCAAACUACAAAUAUGUAUGAUAAAUCUCUACUUGUCCAUAUGUUGCUGUUAGCUUCGGAAGGACUAUUUUAUAUAUUAUAUUUGCCUUGUAAAUUUAGUAGCCUUCACAUAAAGACUGUGUGGAUUCCCCCACCUCACCCCGCUUUUUCUCUCCAGUUUUUUCCAAACACAACUUGAAGGUGUUUUCUCAUUUUCAUCAGUGCACAGUCUUCACUUGGUAAUUCUAACAGCCGCAAAACACUGGAUGGCCUCAUCUUGUGCUUGCUGCACACAAACACUGGAUUACUCUAAUCCAAUCUAAUUUCAUAGGAUAUAGAGUCCAGUCUCUUAAGACAUAUGUCUGACCUAGAAGUGCAAGUAUAUUAUCGCAAAGCACUUUUACAGCUAGAGGCGCACACAAAAAUUAUUGCAAAGAUAUAACAAUGGAUAAUGUAUGAUUAUUCAUUUCGUCAUCCUCUUUCAGUGGAGAAAACUAGUUUUAAUUAAUAUACAACCCACAUUACCAGACAAACAACACUCUUUUUAUGUUAAGGCUGUGUACACACCAAAGUGUCAAUGUGCAGCUGAGUCACAUUGAUCCAAUUUUUCUGUUUGUGCUUUUGUGCAUGUUCAUUCAUACACGAGAGCUUUCCAUUGAACCUGUCCACACCAGUAGGCAUUGGUUGAUGGGAUGUAUUUGCAUUGAGUUUUGUUGCCCCAACCCUUCAAUUAGUACUUCCACACCCUCCCCUGGCAACCUGAGGUCCUUGGUGGACAUGAAUACAGGUAUUUGUUUACCUGUGUGCAUGGCCAUCACACACACACACACACACACACACACACACGUUUUCCAAUAUAUCAGACUAGCAUAAAAUGGCAGGUUUAAAGAAAAGUGUGUGUGUAUUGUGGCUAACCCACUCUCUCCACCACAACAAAAGCCUUAUUCUUAUAUUAUUACCAUAUUGUUCUUAUAGAUACCUACCAUACUUCAGCUAGGGAAGGAAUCUACAGGAGAGAUGUUGAAUACAGUGGUACCUCGGGUUCCAUAUGCUUCAGGUUACAGACUCCGCUAACCCAGAAAUAGUACCUCGGGUUAAGAACUUUGCUUCAGGAUGAGAACAGAAAUUGUGCUCCGGCGGCAUGGCAGCAGCAGGAGGCCCCAUUAGCUAAAGUGGUGCUUCAGGUUAAGAACAGUUUCAGGUUAAGAACGGACCUCCGGAAUGAAUUAGUACUUAACCCGAGGUACCACUGUACAAUACUUGGCUGCGGAGAAACACAAAGGGAAAGGAUGUCUACAUUUAGAGUUUUAAAAGCGAGAACCAACCCCUUAUGCUUAGGCCUGGAAAUGAAUGGGUGGCGAGGGGUGAAAAGCGUUCUAGGAUUCUUCUAAGCUAAACUUUUCCUGCUGCUCAUUGAUGAUAAAACCAUGUUACAAGUGGCCUGUUUAGCUUGUUGAUGUUCCAAUGUGGGUGUAUCGCCUUUCCUGGAAGCAGCAAUUUUGCAACAGACUGCUGUUCCAGAAGUCUUCAUAUUUAGCACAAAAAUCUUCUUACUUGGACAGGUUUUCUUUUCAGGUUGCUUGGCAAUUGCAAGAGUGUGGGCGUCUGACUCUCCAGCACCUCUUGCUUAGAUUUUAUUGUGUUCUUUCUCUCUUUUAUUCCAUAUUUACAGAAGAGAGGUGAUCUCUCUGUGCGUGUUUGAUUUAACCCCUGUUAUUAUGGACUUAUAGGCACAUGUAUGCAUAUGUCUGAAAACCCUUGUAGAACAGCAGACGCUAGCAAUUCAAAAGCCGCAGUAUGGUAAUAACUUUACUAGAAAUGUCACAAUAUUCUAAUAAUUGUUACAGUUCUUCAGGCAUGACAAUACAAUGGCCCUUCAGCGUACUUUAAAAGCAUUUGUUAUGGUUACUUCUUAACUCUUACAAUGGUGCAGUUCUGUAAUUUUAGACUUUGAAAUGGUCUUAUGGGGAAUCCACCUUUAGAAAAAUAACGUAUAUUAAUUCCAAAUGUAGGGAGACAACCCUCAGACCCUCCCCAAGUGUCCCCAUUUUCCAAGGACAGCCACGGAUUUACAGAAGCCGUCCCAGUUUCUGAUUUGAUCCCUGAAUGUCCUGCUUUUUCCCUAUGGUAGGACGUUCCUAUUUUCAACGGAGAAAUGUUGGAGGGUGUGCAGUUUUGUGGCUCCCCCAAACCAAGGAGAAAACAUCUGAAUGGGGAAGGUUUUUUAAUGUUUAAUGGGUGGCAUUAUAUAAUAAUAAACCUUUUUAUUACUAUUAUUAUGGAAUAGGAUGUCCCUGUUUUCGUCAGAGAGAUGAUGGAGGAUAUGAACCCUGCUGCAUUUGGGAAGGCUGCUGCUUAUUCUGCUGAGUGAGGUCCUAGACUUCUACCCCAAGGUCUUACCCUGAUUUCACCACUGCACACAGUAGGUAAAGGUAAAGGUGAAGGGACCCCUGAGCAUUAGGUCCAGUCGUGACUGACUCUGGGGUUGCAGCGCUCAUCUUGCUUUAUUGGCCGAGGGAGCCGGCAUACAGCUUCCAGGUCAUGUGGCCAGCAUGACUAAGCUGCUUCUGGCGAACCAGAGCAGUGCAUGGAAACGCCGUUUACCUUCCCACUGGAGCAGUACCUAUUUAUCUACUUGAACUUUGUGCUUUUGAACUGCUAGGUUGGCAGGAGCAGGGACCGAGCAAUGGGAGCUCACCCCAUCACAGGGAUUUGAACCACCAACCUUCUGAUCGGCAAGUCCUAGGCUCUGUGGUUUAACCCACAGCGCCACCCGCGUCCCUUACUGCAUACAGUGGUUCAAGUCAAUUAAGUAAAGACAGUCUUUUAUAAGCAGCUUUUCCUUCCCAUUUGUUGUUGUUGCUGGAUCCAGCCAUUCAAAGCAGAGCACCUGGAACAAGCAGUAUGGAAGGAUGAAGCGAGGGGAAGGAAGGAAUGAGAUGUCUGUCUCAAAAGGUCGCAAUGAAAAGAGCCCUUUAAGUGCACUUUUAAAAAAACUGCUAUUUAGAUAAAAUUAGCCGAAGCAGAUUAGCUUCUUUCUCUUAUAAUGCCACAAAUUACGUAAGCAUUAAGACAUUCCAUCACAAAAUUAAAGAUUAUGAUUUCUGAAAUCUAGUUUGAAGAAAAUCUACACUAGGAAAUAAAGCUCUCCUUCAUGUAUUAAUUAACAGCAAGGGAAAUUAGAUGAACAUUGGUUCUCUCUAUUAAUACCUUCUUUCAGAUUAGUCCCAGUAGGAAACUGAAUAAUUUCCUCAGGAGAAUUAAAGCCCUUCUAUUUGUACUAAUGACGGGGUGAUUUAUAGGAUAUUAUUAAAUUAUGUGGAGCAGCAAAGAGGCAAGCAAAACUAAUGAGGAAAAACAGGUAGCAAUUAUGAAAUAUAUGGUGACUUCGUAAGCAUUGUUUAGUUUCUUUAUGUUAAGACUUGGAGGCCUGCUACAUCUUGAUCUGUACUUACGUAAGGUCUACAUGCGCGUAAGCAGGAACUCUGGCAUGACCAAAGUUUCCAAUCAUGCGUACAACUGCAGCGUCCAUUACUCACCUUUGGCCAAGUGAGUUGAGAAUCGUUGGGUGAACGGAUGAAUGGAAUAACUGCUGGAUUAUUUCUAAAGGUGCUACUGAGAAGGUGGGUUCUAACUUUAGCAGGUCAGUAUUAACAUUUAUAACAUUUAUUACAAAGGAUUCAAAUGCAAUGCAAGCAUAGAUAAAGCAACGUAAUAUCAUCAAAUACACCCGCCUUCAUUAUGUUAGUUCAACACAGUCAUAAAGCAUCAUUUCAGUAUCACUAAUCAACUAGCAAUUUAUUAUUAUUAUUAAAAAGGUAAAGGGACCCCUGACCAUUAGGUCCAGUUGUGGCUGACUCUGGGGUUGUGAUGCUCAUCUCGCUUUAUUGGCUGAGGGAGCCGGCGUACAGCUUCCGGGUCAUGUGGCCAGCAUGACUAAGCCAUUUCUGGUGAACCAGAGCAGCGCAUGGAAAUGCCGUUUUUUAAUUAUUUUAAUUUUAAUUAAUUAAUUAACAUUUAAUUAUUUUAAUUCUAAUUUUUAAUUAUUAUUAUUAUUACUAAUUAAAUUUGCAUACUGCCCUUCACCCCUAGAUCUCAGGACGGUUCACAAGGUAAAAAAACACAAAAUAAAUAAUAAUAACAAGAACAAAUACGAAGCAAACCAAUAACCCCCAUUAUACCUUUUGACACACACAGUUAGUCCCCUUUGUUGCUACCCUAUUUUAUACUAUUAGCUAUGCUUAAGUGCUUAAUCUCUUUGAGGCUUCUACAGAAUGAAUUGUUGCAUUUUCCAUCUCCCGAUGUUUCCAAAUUGUUUUCUUAUCCAUAACACAGCUUGCUUAUCCCUUUCAGUCACGUCAAAUAUGGCAUUGUUUUCUUUCCAUCGAGCAAUCUUUCUUCAAAGACAACUUAACCCAACGAUUUAACUGUUUUGGUCCCUACAAAAGGCACGCCUUGCCCUGGGUGCUGCUAUUUAUUCUAGAACCAGCCCUGUUUGCUGCUCUGCCUCAGGCAGCAAAAUGUAUUGGGCCAGCCCUGUGAACCGGAGAAAACAGUGUUCCUGGUUUAUCGAAUGGAUUUUAUGAAAAUUCCUUAGCAGCAAAAAGGGAAGACAGAACGUACAAAGGAAACACACACACCCAUACACCCAUGUCGGCCAAUUGUACAAUUGGAUAUAAGGAGGCAGGAAUUACAUGUUCCUGCAGAGGGACCUUCUUUGGAUAUGACAGUACUCCAAAUUCAAGUCUAAUAUAAUUAACGUCACAAAUGACAAUCCAAAACCUUUGUCAAAGUUAUAGAAUGUAUAAAUUUCUUAAUAUUUGGAGUAUAUAAAUAAACAGCCUGUUUUUUAUUUUUUAAAAACCUUAAAUUUUCUGUUUAGAUUGUAAGCAAGCACAGCUGCUUAUGGUAGAUUUGAGGAAACUGCACUGUACUCAUUGUCUACAUACAUUUUGAAAGGGUGGAUCAUGCCUAGAGUAAAUCUUAAGUCAGAAUGUCUUCCUCUUUUUUUAAAGUCCAGGACGUCAAAAUACAAAACACCAAUGGCUGAAUGUGUGAAUAUACAGAUCUACAUACCAAAUAAGCUACGUAUUUAAAGACUCUCCAAUUUUCCCUAUUGCAUCAAAGCAACAUAUAUGAUCGACAUCUGGGGAGGAUCAAGUUCAAAGAGAUUUUAAAGAUUUGUAUUGUCAAGGGAAAGGAUUUGAUACUGCAAGAGAUUGUUGCAGGCUUCACCCAACACAGAAAGAUCCUAUGAACCAUGAUCCUUGAUUUAGUGUACAUAUAGCAGGAAAACUCCAAUUCAGACCUCGUUAGAUCUUAUUUGUGGCAUUAGGGAUCGUUGACUAACUUAAUUGAAAACAGGCAUGUAAUAGCUGAAACUUAAAUGAAAUACACCUUGCUUUGAGGAUGAUGAUGAUGAUAAUCCUAAUCGUAAUAAAUGACUUCCACACACUCUGCAAGUGCUAGUUAUCUGGAAAGGCCUUUCAUUCUUGCAACAAGCAGCAAUAAUUUUGGAAAUUUCCUACACUCAAAAGUUUCAUUCGCUGGCUCUGAGUUGAUUUAUGAUUGGAUUUAUUGCACUUCCCUGCAACUUUCCAUUUAAGUGAAUUCCAAAGUGGCUUUCAAACAAUAUAUUUAAUCAACAGCAAUUUUUUAAAAAUCACAGUUAAAGCACAAAACAACACAGUUACAAUGCCCGAGCCAUUUAAAAGCUGAACAUACCAAGUCAUAUAAUAACAUUAAGAAAUCAAGCAUAAAACAAUUAUAAGUUUAUACAUUCGACAGAAUGACAUGGUUGCUCUCAUGUAGAACUUAGCAAGAAGGAGGAGGGGGACAAAACCAGAAUUUGUUGGAUCUGCCUGUCAUGGGCUCUGGUUUCACCUGCUGUUGACCUCCUUGCCUCCCAAUCCCAGUGGGCACCAACCAUCUGCCAUCGUCUGCAGACCAGAAGCCUGUUUGUAACUAGCUAGACCAGCAGAGGUAUACUGUUGUGCAGCAGUUGUGCACAGGAAGGUAUAAGCAGGCUCUCCUAGACUACCCCACCUCCUACGUUGACAACAACCUCAUUACAACAGCAUUAACUAGAUGAAUACAUCAAAAAGCAGAAAAGAAAACAGCUUGUGUGGAAGCAAGCUAAGCUGAAUUAUGUGCAACAACCUUCCCUUCCUAU
rnacentral:lncRNA from 1 species